rnacentral:rRNA from 1 species
UACGAAGGGGGCUAGCGUCGCUCGGAAUCACUGGGCGUAAAGGGUGCGUAGGCGGGUCUUUAAGUCAGGGGGGAAAUCCUGGAGCUCAACUCCAGAACUGCCUUUGAUACUGAGGAUCUUGAGUACGGGAGAGGUGAGUGGAACUGCGAGUGUAGAGGUGAAAUUCGUAGAUAUUCGCAAGAACACCAGUGGCGAAGGCGGCUCACUGGCCCGUUACUGACGCUGAGGCACGAAAGCGUGGGGAGCAAACAGG